rnacentral:rRNA from 1 species
GAGGGGUGCAAGCGUUAUUCGGAAUCAUUGGGCGUAAAGGGUGUGUAGACGUUAAGCUAAGUCAACUGUUAAAUUCUCUGGCCUAACCAGGGAUCAGCGGUAGAAACUGGUUUGAUAGAGGGUGAAAGAGAGAAGUGGAAUUCUCGGAGUAGCGGUAAAAUGCGUAGAUCUCGAGAGGAACACCGAUGGCGAAGGCAGCUUCUUGGUUUACUCCUGACGUUGAGACACGAAAGCGUGGGUAGCAAACAGGAUUAGAUACCCUGGUAGUCCACGCUGUAAACGAUGACCACUAGACGUUCGCCCUCGCUUGCGGGGUGAGUGUCGUAGCUAACGCGUUAAGUGGUCCGCCUGGGGACUACGGUCGCAAGACUA